rnacentral:rRNA from 1 species
GACGAACGCUGGCGGCGUGCUUAACACAUGCAAGUCGAACGGUGAAGCUCCAGCUUGCUGGAGUGGAUCAGUGGCGAACGGGUGAGUAACACGUGAGCAACCUGCCCCUGACUCUGGAAUAAGCGCUGGAAACGGCGUCUAAUACUGGAUACGAGAAGGGUCCGCAUGGGCACUUUCUGGAAAGUUUUUCGGUUGGGGAUGGGCUCGCGGCCUAUCAGCUUGUUGGUGAGGUAAUGGCUCACCAAGGCGACGACGGGUAGCCGGCCUGAGAGGGCGACCGGCCACACUGGGACUGAGACACGGCCCAGACUACUACGGGAGGCAGCAGUGGGGUAUAGUGCACAAUGGGCGAAAGCCUGAUGCAGCGACGCCGCGUGAGGGAUGACGGCCUUCGGGUUGUAAACCUCUUUCCGCAGGGAAGAAGCGAAAGUGACGGUACCUGCAGAAGAAGCACCGGCUAACUACGUG